AUUUGAACAUUCUGUCUUGGAGUUAUUUCAUUAUUGCAGAAUAGAAAAAAAAAACACUGAUCUCUUUCAUUUAUGGAAUCUGUGAAAAAAAUUACUUUCUCUACCUUGCAGUACAGAAUAUACGCAAAUAUAUUUUCCAAUAUUGACAAGUACAUAGAAUGGAAGAUACAAAAUACAAGAUACCUUUCAGUGUUUUACUGUGGAAAACAGUCUCAGACGACUUGAGUCUAUAUUCUGUCAAUGUGCUAUACUAUAAAACAAGAGGGUAUCGACUACUUUAUAACUGAAUUUUUCAUUGAAAAUCUCUGAGAUAAUUUAACCAAAGUGAUCACAUAAGCUUCCCGCUAGUAUCACGAUGUCAAACCAAAAAAAUAAAAUAAUUUGAAAAAUAUCUUUUAUCAAUCCCAAAAUAAUGUAACGUUUUUCGAAAAUAAAAAUAUCUGGAGUACAAAUGCAACUGCAUGAUAUGUUAAAAUAUCUCAAAUUUAAAGAUUAAAGCUCCGUAACACAGGUACAAGAGAGUCAAAAGUUUUCAAAAUAUACUGGCUAUCAUGCAAUUUGAUUGGUUACCUUGACAGGGGAUGGAUGAAUAAAAAAGAUCACAAUGGUAGUUAAUGUUGAAAUCAGGACUCUCCUGUAUAAUUGUUGUUCAUGCUUCUCAAGAGAUAAGGGCUCAUAUUUCCUACCUCUAUUUUAUCUCCCUGAGAGGAUUGAUGACAUAAUUUAUUAUGUUCAUCAUUCGUCGCACACAUAAUUUCCAGAAACUUCUGUGUUAUCUCAUGGGACAGUCUUUUUAUCUAAUGAAUCAGUUAACUGCUAUUGUAUAAAUAAUCACAAUAAACAUGCUGUCAUCCUAUAGUUAUAGUAAGUCAACAACUCGUAAUCACAAUUAGUCCUACCAAGUAAAUCUUCUGGCAAACAGUCUCAGACGACUUGAGAUCUAUAUUCUGUUAAUGUGCUAUACGUUAAAACAAGAGGGUAUCAACUACUUUACUAAUCAUAAUUGAAUUUUUAUUGAAAAUCUCUGAGUUAAUUUAACAAAAGCGAUCCAAAGCUUUACACUAGUAUCAAGAUCCAUACAUAAAAGGUCAAUGUCAAAUGGACCUCACCAGAAACACGUGCACACAUAAAAAGCAUUCCAUAUAUAAAUUAUCUAUUGCUAAUAGUAACGAGAAAGGAAACUAACCACAACUAGAGGCUCUCAAAAGCCUGUGUUGCUCACCUUGGUCUAUGUGCAUAUUAAACAAUGGACACAGAUAAAUUCAUGACAAAAUUGUGUUUUGGUGAUCAUGAUGUGUACAUUCUUCUUGCUACAAUUAUCUCUAUCUAUAAUGAACUUGGCCCAGUAAUUACAGUGGAAAAUAUAUUCUAAAAAUUUACAAAAAUUUAUGAAAAUUGUUAAAAAAAUGACUAUAAAGGGCAAUAACUCCUUAAGGGGUAAACUGACAAUUUUGGUCAUGUUGACUUAUUUGUAGAUUUUACUUUGCUGAACAUUAUUGCAGUUGACAGUUUAUCUCUAUCUAUUAUAAUAUUCAAGAUAAUAACCAACCAGGUGCUCCGCAGGGCGCAGUUUUACACGACCCCAGUGGUUGAACCCUGAACAGUUGGGGCAAAUUUGGUCACAAUAUUCAAGUUUGAUUCUGUCUGAAUUUGGAUUGUGAUAAAAUUUUUGACAUAAUAUAGGUUUUUGUCACAAAAUUAAUGUGGUCAAAGAUCAAACAAAUCUAUUGCACAAUACUGUGCAAUUGAAGUUUUCUUCUUGAAACUUUUCAAAAUUUCUAAAUUUGAAAAUUUUUGAAAACUAGAGGCUCUCAAGAGCCUGUGUCGCUCACCUUGGUCUAUGUGCAUAUUAUCAAUGGAUACAGAUAAAUUCAUGACAAAAUGGUGUUUUUGUGAUGGUGAUGUGUUUGUAGAUCUUUCUUUACUGAACAUUCUUGUUGCUACAAUUAUCUCUAUCUAUAAUGAACUUGGACCAGUAAUUACAGUGGAAAAUAUUUCCUAAAAAUUUACAAAAAUUUACAAAAAUUUAUGAAAAUUGUUAACAAUUGACUACAAAGGGUAAAAACUCCUUAAGGGGGCAAUUGACAAUUUUGAUCAUGUUGACAUAUUUGUAGAUCUUAUUUUGCUGAACAUUAUUGCUGUUUACAGUUUAUCUCUAUCUAUAAUAAUAUUCAAGAUAAUAACUAAAAUUUGCAAAAUUUCGUUAAAAUUACUAAUUCGGGGGCAGCAACCCAACAAUAGGUUGUCUGAUUUGUCUGAAAAUUUCAGGGCAGAUAGAUCUUGACCUGAUAAACAAUUUUACCCAGUCAGAUUUGCUCUAAAUGCUUUGGUUUUAGAGAUAUAAGCCAAAAUCUACAUUUCCCCUCUAUGUUCUAUUUUUAGCCAUGGCAGCCAUCUUGGUUGGUUGGGCGGGUCACGCCAUACAUUUUUAAAACUGGAUACCCCAAUAAUGAUUGUGGCCAAGUUUGGUUAAAUUUGGCCCAGGAGUUUCAGAGGAGAAGAAUUUUGUAAAAGAUUACAAAAAAUUUGUCAAAAUUGACUAUAAAGGGCAAUAACUCCUAAAGGGGUCAACUGACCAUUUCAGUCAUGUUGACUUAUUUGUAAAUCUUACUUUGCUGAACAUUAUUGCUGUUUACUGUUUAUCUCUAUCUAUAAUAAUAUUCAAGAUAAUAACCAAAAACAGCAAAAUUUCCUUAAAAUUAAUUAUUCAGGGGCAGCAACCCAACAACGAGUUAUCCGAUUCAUCUGAAAAUUUCAGGGCAUGUAGAUCUUCACCUGUUUAACAAUUCAUCCCAUGUCAGAUUUGCUCUAAAUGCUUUGGUUUUUGAGUUAUAAGCCAAAAACUGCAUUUUACCCCUAUGUUCUAUUUUUAGCCAUGGCGGCCAUCUUGGAUGGUUGGCUGGGUCACCGGACACAUUUUUUAAACUAGAUACCUAAAUGAUGAUUGUGGCCAAGUUUGGUUUAAUUUGACCCAGUAGUUUCAGAGGAGAAGAUUUUUGUAAAAGUUAACGACGACGCCGGACGCCAAGUGAUGAGAAAUGCUCACUUGGCCUUUUAGGCCUGGUGAGCUAAAAAGGAAGCCCUUCAAAAAUCGUUAACGCAACCCCCUUUGAGCAAUAACCCUUAAACUCAAUCCCAUGCUUUCCAUUGCAGUAUUGAACCUUGUAGUACAAUUUCAGAGAGAUCCAUACAGUUACACAAGUUAUUGAUUUGAAACUAGAACCAGAUGCUCCGCAGGGCGUAGCUUUAUACAACCGCAGAGGUUGAACCCUGAACGGUUGGGGCAAGUAUGGACACAACAUUCAAGCUGGAUUCAGGUCUAAAUUUGGAUUGUGAUUAAAUAGUUGACACAGCAUAGGUUUCUGACACAGAAUGAAUGUGUUCUAAUGAACUUAAAAUUUUUGUUUUCUCUUAGAGCAAUUCACUAUGCUGUUGAAUAUUAAUCCUCUCAAAAAAAUGUUUGAAGAAAUUUUCUUUUUUAUUUAUGAAAUUUCAAAUGAGAAAAAU
rnacentral:lncRNA from 1 species